rnacentral:rRNA from 1 species
AUUGAACGCUGGCGGCAUGCCUUACACAUGCAAGUCGAACGGCAGCACGGGUGCUUGCCCCUGGUGGCGAGUGGCGAACGGGUGAGUAAUACAUCGGAACAUGUCCUGUAGUGGGGGAUAGCCCGGCGAAAGCCGGAUUAAUACCGCAUACGAUCUACGGAUGAAAGCGGGGGACCUUCGGGCCUCGCGCUAUCGGGUUGGCCGAUGGCUGAUUAGCUAGUUGGUGGGGUAAAGGCCUACCAAGGCGACGAUCAGUAGCUGGUCUGAGAGGACGACCAGCCACACUGGGACUGAGACACGGCCCAGACUCCUACGGGAGGCAGCAGUGGGGAAUUUUGGACAAUGGGCGAAAGCCUGAUCCAGCAAUGCCGCGUGUGUGAAGAAGGCCUUCGGGUUGUAAAGCACUUUUGUCCGGAAAGAAAACCUUGGCCCUAAUACGGUCGGGGGAUGACGGUACCGGAAGAAUAAGCACCGGCUAACUACGUG